GACUGUGAGGUAUGCUGGAGGUAUCAGAAGUGCGAAUGCUGACAUAAGUAACGAUAAAGCGGGUGAAAAGCCCGCUCGCCGGAAGACCAAGGGUUCCUGUCCAACGUUAAUCGGGGCAGGGUGAGUCGACCCCUAAGGCGAGGCCGAAAGGCGUAGUCGAUGGGGAAACAGGUUAAUAUUCCUGUACUUGGUGUUACUGCGAAGGGGGGACGGAGAAGGCUAUGUUGGCCGGGCGACGGUUGUCCCGGUUUAAGCGUGUAGGCUGGUUUUCCAGGCAAAUCCGGAAAAUCAAGGCUGAGG
rnacentral:rRNA from 1 species